UUCUUACCAAAUUCAGUAUAUCAAAUUCAGUACAUCAGCACAAGAUCCUCCGUCUGUCUGAACUGUCACAGCGUGAUUGAAGACUGAGAAAUGAUGACCAUCCACUCUCCCUGAGAUACUCAAACCCGAUCCAGUCUCUGAAGUAUCGUUAAUACCAAGCUAUUUCUUCACAAUGUUUUUGCAAUGGCAGCGUGUGUCUUUCUCAAAUGCUGCGAGUGCUCCCAGCGAAGCAGAAUGGGGAAUUACCUUACGCAACAUCUUAUCGCUGAAUGCUUAACACAAUGUAAAAUGCUGGGAGGCGGUCUUGGCUGGAAGUCAGGCUGUCCUGAGGUGGUUUUCCUGGUGAAUCACUUCGUGGUGCUUUGUGGAUUCCCUGAGCCAGUCUCGAGCACUUGCUUUACAGUUUGGCUUGUUUGUGGGUGGAGUUUUUGUAAUAAAAACAACAGCAACCCCCCAAGAAAAAAAAAGCAAAACAAAAACAACAUCAAAAAACAAACCACCAUCAAAAAAGCAAACAAAAAAACCAACAACAGCUUUAAGGUGUAGAAGGCACUGGCUAGGCUUUCAUUUUGUCGGUAAUAGUGCUUAUUUUAAUAGCAACUAAAAUGAUACAUGUGUGCAAUUCAUGAGCAGCAUCUGUUUACAGAUCAGGUAUUUAGACCUUAAAUAGGAGUGCACAGAAGCACACUUUAUUUUGGAAAGAGGCCUUUCAAUAUCAGGGGCUCUGUUUUACACCCACAACAGUGCCGUUGCUCAGCUCAUAGUGCUGCGUGGCUCCAGAUGCAAGUAGCUCCGAGGUGUUUUGCAGUCUGUUAAUGACUUUUUAUUUAAAGACUUAUUCCACUUUCCUAUGCAGAGAGAGCCCUCCGUUAAUUGCCUUCUCCAUUCUGGAGGAUUUUUAAAAUGAGUUACAGUGAUUCUAAUAUAAACUUGGCUCGUUAUGUGAAAUCAUAGGGACAUAUGAUGGAAUAAUACCAAAGAGAGGCUGAAAAUGGAAAUUUGGUUUGUCUUUGGACAAAUGUCAGGGUGAACUGGGGAAUGAAAAAUAUUUUACAAGGCUUUUGGUUUCUGUGGAGCUUCAGCUCUUGCAGAAUGGAUGUUUCUACUGUUUGGAAAAAAAAUAGGACUUAUUUCCCUCAACAGAAAGCAUAAUCUUGUUUUCAGGUGGCUGUGUUGAAAUUUGACACAAUCUGAAGCUGAUACUGGUGUUAAACCCCCAAAUCUACCAGAUGAAAAAGUAAAUUACUCAUGUAAAUACAGCAGUUACCAAGGCUGUGUCAAAGAAGCUCAGGAGAAGGAAUUGGAGCUGCAAAUUCUGUGAAUUUCUGUGUACAGAAGUUACCUCAAAUGUAGUAUUUUCUGGGAGAAGACAUCCAGUCAGCACCUCAGAAACAUAACCAAAAUGACUAGUGCUUCACUGCUAAUAAAAAAGCAGAGAUGACUCACAACUACUAAAGAACCUGCUUGGUUUUAGGAUGCAGAAAGAAGAACUGCUUUCAUAUCGCUUAAGGAUAAAGUUUCAUUCUUUAUUUUUCACCUGAACCUGAUGUCAACGAUUGCUUUAUAGUUAACUCCUGUCAAAUUGCAAUCUCUGGUAAGGUUUUGUAAUACCUU